rnacentral:rRNA from 1 species
GUCGUGAAUGUUGGGUUAAGUCCCGCAACGAGCGCAGCCCUACCGCCGUUUGCAUCAUUCAGUUGGGCACUCUGGUGGAACUGCCGGUGACAUGCCGGAGGAAAGGCGGGAAUGACGUCAAGUUCCUCAUUGGCCCUUAUGGGUUGGGCACACACGUGCACAAUGGCGGGGACAGUGGAUGCGAAGUUCGCAGGAUUGGGGCCAAUCCCCAAAAGCC